GCUAUAAUUUUUCUGAAUUUCGGAACGUAUUUAAUAAAUUCUGUUUUAUCUAUGGUAUGGAUAUUUACUUUGCAAUAAUUUUCAUGACAUGAGACUACAUUUUGCUGCAAUUACAAGCGAUUUGAUCUGGUUUUGUUAUAAUUUCGUUUCAAUUUUAUGCGAAUAGGUACUGAGUUUAUAAAAGUAACAUAAUAUUGUCUUGUACUUAUAUAAUUAGUUUUUGUGUAUUUCGGAUUCCGUUUACAUCUAGGUACCUACUAUGUCGGGGUCCUACGAGAAAGCUGGCGUAUCAACGCCACGAAUAUUCAGGCGCCCGUAAAUCGUCAAAACGAGUGAAAAGCGCAUUCAGUUGGAUACAUGUGGACGACAAGAUAGUAAACCUGUAAAUUAUAACUCAAGUUGUGGCCAGCUUCAUUGUAAACAAACUUUAGUUUUCAAGUUCAAGGACAAAUGCGUGUCAGUAACAUGGAUAAAUGCUACUUCAUAUGUUUUAUUUCAGUCAAUGAACCUUUGACUGUUAUAGAAGUUUGUCGAGAUAAUAUAAUGACUUUAUCAGCAAUAUGAUGCCAAAGUUAAUACACUUUUUUAAAGAAUGUAUUCUGCCAGAAAUAGUUUUGAGACAUGUUCAAAAAAAUGCGAAAUGUAUACCUAGGUAUGAAAGCAGUUGUGUAGCGGUAGUUUCCAGGCAAUAAUGAGGAAGGAUGAGUGAAAACAACACGACAAAUGUUUUUUUAUUGUACUAUUAUAGUAGUGUGUUUAGAAUCUACAUUAUCAAUGUUUACAGUCAUGUUUUUUUUUAUGUCAGAAAACUGAAAUGGUGUACUCGUCGUAAUAAACAUAAUGUUCAUAAUGUGAUAUGAAUACAUUGACCUAUUUUAAGGUUUCUGAAAAACAAAAAGGAAAGUUGUUGCUUUUUUAUUUCCUUAUGUAGUAUAGUGGUUAUGGAUGCUUAGAUAUUCUCAAACAUUUUUCCGCUUUGAUUGCAAUCUAUUAUUCUGGUUGCCUUGUUUAUGAAUUAUAGUUUUGAAUUAUUAUUUUGAAUGAGAUUAUUUUUUAAUAAUCAGUCACGUAUCAAGCAUUCAUGUCACAUAAAUACUUGUAAUAAUUGCAGGUUAGUAUAUACAUUCUAUUAAAUAAUGUAUAAGAUAAUAAAAUAAAACUGUCUUACAUUGCA